CACGUAGGGCGCGAGCGUUGUCCGGAAUUAUUGGGCGUAAAGAGCUCGUAGGCGGCCUGUUGCGUCCGCUGUGAAAGCCCGGGGCUUAACCCCGGGUCGGCAGUGGAUACGGGCAGGCUAGAGGUAGGUAGGGGAGAAUGGAAUUCCCGGUGUAGCGGUGGAAUGCGCAGAUAUCAGGAGGAACACCGAUGGCGAAGGCAGGUCUCUGGGCCAUUACUGACACUGAGAAGCGAAAAGCAUGGGGAGCGAACAGG
rnacentral:rRNA from 1 species